rnacentral:rRNA from 1 species
GAUGAACGCUGGCGGCGUGCUUAACACAUGCAAGUCGAACGGAAAGGCCAGUGCUUGCCCUGGUGCUCGAGUGGCGAACGGGUGAGUAACACGUGGGUGAUCUGCCCUGCACUUUGGGAUAAGCCUGGGAAACUGGGUCUAAUACCAGAUAGGACCAUGCUUUGGAUGGUGUGGUGGAAAGUUUUUUCGGUGUGGGAUGAGCUUGCGGCCUAUCAGCUUGUUGGUGGGGUAAUGGCCUACCAAGGCGUCGACGUGUAGCCGGCCUGAGAGGGUGUACGGCCACAUUGGGACUGAGAUACGGCCCAGACUCCUACGGGAGGCAGCAGUGGGGAAUAUUGCACAAUGGGCGCAAGCCUGAUGCAGCGACGCCGCGUGGGGGAUGACGGCCUUCGGGUUGUAAACUCCUUUCGCAACUGACGAAGCUUUUUGUGACGGUAGGUUGAGAAGAAGCACCGGCUAACUACGUG